GGCUCCCAGGAUCUGACCCAGGGGGUCUCCAGGAACUCCAGGGCUCACAGGAUCUGACCCAGGGGUUCUCCAGGAUCUCCAGGGCUCCCAGGAUCUGACCCAGGGCGUCUCCAGGAUCUCCAGGGCUCACAGGAUCCGACCCAGGGGGUCUCCAGGAACUCCAGGGCUCACAGGAUCUGACCCAGGGGGUCUCCAGGAUCUCCAGGGCUCCCAGGAUCUGACCCAGGGGCUCUCCAGGGCUCCCAGGAUCCAGGGAUGGGGGUCUCCAGGAACUCCAGGGCUCCCAGGAUCUGGCUCAGGGGAUCUCCAGGGCUCCCAGGAUCCAGGGAUGGGGGUCUCCAGGAACUCCAGGGCUCCCAGGAUCUGACCCAGGGGGUCUCCAGGAACUCCAGGGCUCUCAGGAUCAGAACCAGAGGCUCUCAAGGUCUCUCAGGGUCACAUCCAGGGGCUCCCAGGAUCCGAUCCAGGGGCUCACAGGAUCUGAUCCAGGGGCUCACAGGAUCCCAUCCAGGCUCUCCAGGGCUCCCAGGUCACAUCCAGGGGGUCUCCAAGGAUCCCAUCCAGGGGCUCCCAGGAUCACAUCCAGGCUCUCCAAGGACUCCCAGGGUCACAUCCAGGCUCUCUAGGGUUCCCAGGAUCCCAUCCAGAGGGGUCUCCACGGCUCCCAGGGUCACAUCCAGGCUCUCCAGGGCUCCCAGGGUCAGAUCCAGAGGGUUUCCAGGGGCUCACAGGAUUCCAUCUAGGGGGUCUCCAGGAUCACAGGAUCCGGUCCAGGCUCUCCAGGGGCUCCCAAGAUCACAUCCAGAGGGGUCUCCAGGUCUCCCAGGAUCCCAUCCAGGGACUCCCAGGGUCAGAUCCAGGGCUCUCCAGGGGCUCACAGGGUCACAUCCCGGCUCUCAAGGGUUCCCAGGAUCCCAUCCAGGCUCUCCAGGGUUCCCAGGGUCACAUCCAGGGGCUCCCAGGAUCCCAUCCAGGCUCUCCAGGACUCCCAGAAUCCCAUCCAGGCUCUCCAGGGCUCCCAGGGUCAAAUCCAGGGGGUAUCCAAGGGCUUCCAGGAUCCCAUCCAGGGGCCCCCCUUGAUCAGAUCCAGGCUCUCCAGGGACUCCCAGGGUCAGAUCCAGGGGGUCUCCAGGGGCUCCCAAGAUCCAAUCCAGGCUCUCCAGGGGCUCCCAAGAUCACAUCCAAGGAGUCUCCAGGUCUCCCAGGAUCCCAUCCAGGGACUCCCAGGGUCACAUCCAGGGGCCCCCCUUGAUCAGAUCCAGGCUCUCCAGAGCUCCCAGGAUCAGAUCCAGGCUCUCCGGGGGCUCCCAGGGUCACAUCCAGGCUCUCCAGGGCUCCCAAGAUCACAUCCAGGGGGUCUCCAAGGGCUCCCAGGAUCCCAUCCAGGCUCUCCAGGGGCUCCCAAGAUCCAAUCCAGGCUCUCCAGGGGCUCCCAGGGUCACAUCCAGCCUCUCCAGGGUUCCCAGAAUCCCAUCCAGGGUUCCCAGGAUCCCACACAGGUCUCCCAGGAUCCCAUCCAGGUGUCCCAAGAUCACAUCCAGGGGGUCUCCAGGGCUCCCAGGAUCAGAUCCAGGGGGUCUCCAGGAUCCCAUCCAGGCUCUCCAGGGUUCCCCAGGUCAGAUCCAGAGGGUCUCCAUGGCUCCCAGGAUCCCAUCCCUGGCUCCCAGGAUCCCAUCCAGGCUCUCCAGGGCUCCCAGGAUUCCAUCCAGGGGGUCUCCAGGGCUCCCAGGAUCAGAUCCAGAAGGUCUCCAGGGUCACAGGAUCCGGUCCAGGCUCUCCAGGGGCUCCCAGGAUCAGAUCCAGGGCUCACAGAAUCCCAUCCAGGCUCUCCAGGGGCUCCCAAGAUCACAUCCAAGGAGUCUCCAGGUCUCCCAGGAUCCCAUCCAGGGACUCCCAGGGUCAGAUCCAAGCUCUCCAGGGUUCCCAGGAUCCCAUCCCUGGCUCCCAGGAUCCCAUCCCUGGCUCACAGGAUCCCAUCCAGGCUCUCCAGGACUCCCAGGAUUCCAUCCAGAGGGUCUCCAAGGGCUCCCAGGAUCCCAUCCAGGGGCUCCCCGGGUCAGAUCCAGGUUUUCCAGGGACUCCCAGGGUCAGAUCCAAGCUCUCCAGGGUUCCCAGGAUCCCAUCCAAGUCUCCCAGGAUCCCAUCCAAGUCUCCCAGGAUCCCAUCCAGGCUCUCCAGGAUCCCAUCCAGGCUCUCCAGGGCUCCCAGGAUUCCAUCCAGGGGGUCUCCAGGAUCCCAGGAUCCCCUCCGUGGCUCACAGGAUCCUCACCAGCCGGCCCAGCGUCUCGGCCACCUUGACACGCACGGCGGGCACGGGGUCCUUGAGCAGCAGGUUCAGGGCUGGAGGAAAGGGGAAAAGGAAAUUUGAAUUGACUCAGGACCCUCCUGUGCAUUUAUUUCUAAUUUAAAUUUACUCAGGACCCUC
rnacentral:lncRNA from 1 species